rnacentral:rRNA from 1 species
AUUGAACGCUGGCGGCAGGCUUAACACAUGCAAGUCGAACGAGUGGCGGACGGGUGCGUAAUGUCUGGGAAUCUGCCUUAUGGAGGGGGAUAACUACUCGAAACUGUCGCUAAUACCGCAUACCAUCGGAGGUGCCCAGAUGGGAUUAGCUAGUAGGUGGGGUAACGGCUCACCUAGGCAACGAUCCCUAGCUGGUCUGAGAGGAUGACCAGCCACACUGGGACUGAGACACGGUCCAGACUCCUACGGGAGGCAGCAGUGGGGAAUAUUGCACAAUGGGCGCAAGCCUGAAGCAGCCAUGCCGCGUGUAUGAAGAAGGCCUUCGGGUUGUAAAGUACUUUGAGCGGGGAGGGGUUAGCCGCAGAAGAAGCACCGGCUAACGCCGUGCCAGCAGCCGCGGUAAUUC